rnacentral:tRNA from 2 species
AGCGGGAUAGAGCAGUCCGGCAGCUCGACGGUUUCAUACGCCGUAGGUCGGUGGUUCGAAUCCACCUCCCGCUACCA